rnacentral:rRNA from 1 species
GGACUGUAGGCUGCAACUCGCCUACACGAAGUCGGAAUCGCUAGUAAUCGCGGAUCAGCAUGCCGCGGUGAAUACGUUCCCGGGCCUUGUACACACCGCCCGUCACACCAUGGAAGUUUGCAAUGCCCAAAGUCGGUGGCCUAACCAUUUGGAGGGAACCGCCUAAGGCAGGGCAGAUGACUGGGGUGAAGUCGUAACAAGGUAAC